CAGAAUUGUGACCUGGAUCAGCAGAGCAUUGUUCACAUUGUGCAGAGACCGUGGAGAAAAGGUCAAGAAAUGAAUGCAACUGGAGGCGACGACCCCAGAAACGCGGCGGGAGGCUGUGAGCGGGAGCCCCAGAGCUUGACUCGGGUGGACCUCAGCAGCUCAGUCCUCCCAGGAGACUCUGUGGGGCUGGCUGUCAUUCUGCACACUGACAGCAGGAAGGACUCACCACCAGCUGGAAGUCCAGGUAAUUGUCUGCAUGGA
rnacentral:lncRNA from 1 species